GCUCUGUAGUCUAGUGGUUAUGACUGCGGUCGGUCAUGCUGUUGGCGUGCGUUCGAUCCCGACGCUUAACG